rnacentral:rRNA from 1 species
CCUACGGGGGGCAGCAGUGAGGAAUAUUGGUCAAUGGGCGGAAGCCUGAACCAGCCAAGUAGCGUGCAGGAUGACGGCCCUACGGGUUGUAAACUGCUUUUAUACGGGAAUAACGCGCCUUACGGGUAUGGCUUUGCAUUUACCGUAUGAAUAAGGACCGGCUAAUUCCGUUCAAGCAGCCGCGGUAAUACGGAAGGUCCGGGCGUUGUCCGGAUUUAGUGGGUUAAAAGGGUGCGCAGGCGGUCUGUUAAGUCAGCGGUGAAAUCCCGGGGCUCAACCCCGGCCCGCCGUUGAAACUGGCAGUCUCGAGUUGGAGAGAAGUAUGCGGAAUGCGCGGUGUAGCGGUGAAAUGCAUAGAUAUCGCGCAGAACUCCGAUUGCGAAGGCAGCAUGCCGGCUCCACACUGACGCUGAGGCACGAAAGCGUGGGUAUCGAACAGGAUUAGAUACCCCAGUAGUC